CUCCAUCGCAGCCUCUCUCAUCCUAUAUGCCCCCGCCUACUGUGCAAUUGAGAGGGAUUUCACACCCGUCUGAGAAUCCAGAAGGAAGAGAUUACUUUUUCUGCAAUCUUUCCAAGUCCAACCACAAAAUUAUAGAUUAGAAACAGAUAAGUUCAGAAAGCAAGAGAUUGAGAAAAGAAAAUGCAGAGAUCACAAACACUUAUGGGUCUUCCUCUAUUCUUUUUCUCAUCUUCUUCCUCUCAUCCUUGAAUGUCUCUUGUGCCGGAAAAACUGCCCAGAAUUCCAUCGGAGAAGACAAUUCCGUUCUUGGAUCUGAAAUCCAUACCUUAUUCCACUUCUUGCUUUCCCUUCGGUUCUUCCCAUAGUUUUUUCCGUCAUCGUCACUUUCUUUGAUAAAUGAAAUUUCUAUCAUAGUUUAUCAUGAAGCAAAGCCUCAUGGAGUCUCACUCGAAUCACGCAGAAACAAGAAGAGCAACAACUUAUCCAAACCAUCGCUACUUCUCUCCAAGGCGUCUCCUUUGAACGUCGUGGAGUCAUCCUACCUCACCAAAUUUGUCAGUGUUGAGGAGUUACAGAGUUUUCCGGCCGUAUCUGCCAAGCCCAAGAAGAAGAAGAUGGAGAGAAGAUGUAAUAGCUGUAAAGUGAAAUUUAGAUCUUUUACCUUAAUUUAACAGUUAUAUUUAAGAUGACCAAAUCCUAUGGUUAAAAUUGCGCUAGCAUACCUAAUUCCUAGGUGACCUGUUAGCAUACCUAUCCCUCUCCUUAAAAAAAUAUAGGAAAAAAGUGAGUAGAAUCAUUAAAUAUGCCAAGAAUGUGAACGUGGGGAAAUAUAGUAGGUAAUGUUGUAAAUAA